rnacentral:rRNA from 1 species
UUAGAGUUUGAUCCUGGCUCAGGAUGAACGCUAGCUACAGGCUUAACACAUGCAAGUCGCGGGGCAGCAUGAUUUUUCCCUCGGGAAAGAUUGAUGGCGACCGGCGCACGGGUGAGUAACGCGUAUCCAACCUGCCCGUCACCACGGGAUAGCCUGCCGAAAGGCAGAUUAAUACCGUAUGCGGUCCGAAGACGGCAUCAGAUUCGGACUAAAGGUUCAGCGGUGACGGAUGGGGAUGCGUCCGAUUAGGUAGUAGGCGGGGUAACGGCCCACCUAGCCAUCGAUCGGUAGGGGUUCUGAGAGGAAGGUCCCCCACACUGGAACUGAGACACGGUCCAGACUCCUACGGGAGGCAGCAGUGAGGAAUAUUGGUCAAUGGAGGCAACUCUGAACCAGCCAAGUAGCGUGCAGGAUGACGGCCCUAUGGGUUGUAAACUGCUUUUAUGCGGGGAUAAACUGAGUCACGUGUGGCUUAUUGCAGGUACCGCAUGAAUAAGGACCGGCUAAUUCCGUCGCCAGCAGCCGCGGUAAUACGGAAGGUCCGGGCGUUAUCCGGAUUUAUUGGGUUUAAAGGGAGCGCAGGCCGCCCCUUAAGCGUGUUGUGAAAUGCCGCGGCUCAACCGUGGCACUGCAGCGCGAACUGGGGGGCUUGAGUGCGCCGGAAGUAGGCAGAAAUCGUGGUGCAGCGGUGAAAUGCUUAGAUAUCACGAAGAACUCCGAUUGCGAAGGCAGCCUACUAAACUGCCACUGACAUUGAUGCUCGAAAGUGUGGGUAUCAAACAGGAUUAGAUACCCUGGUAGUCCACACGGUAAACGAUGAAUACUCGCUGUUUGCGAUACACUGCAAGCGGCCAAGCGAAAGCGUUAAGUAUUCCACCUGGGGAGUACGCCGGCAACGGUGAAACUCAAAGGAAUUGACGGGGGCCCGCACAAGCGGAGGAACAUGUGGUUUAAUUCGAUGAUACGCGAGGAACCUUACCCGGGCUUGAAUUGCACUCGGAUAUAGCGGAAACGUUAUAGCUAGCAAUAGCGAGUGUGAAGGUGCUGCAUGGUUGUCGUCAGCUCGUGCCGUGAGGUGUCGGCUUAAGUGCCAUAACGAGCGCAACCCUUGUCUAUAGUUACUAACAGGUCAUGCUGAGGACUCUAUGGAGACUGCCAUCGUAAGAUGUGAGGAAGGUGGGGAUGACGUCAAAUCAGCACGGCCCUUACGUCCGGGGCUACACACGUGUUACAAUGGGGCAUACAGAGAGUUGGUCAUGCGCAAGCAUGAUCGGAUCAUGAAAGUGUCCCUCAGUUCGGACUGGGGUCUGCAACCCGACCCCACGAAGCUGGAUUCGCUAGUAAUCGCGCAUCAGCCAUGGCGCGGUGAAUACGUUCCCGGGCCUUGCACUCAAAGCCCGUCA